GGAAUAUUGCGCAAUGGAGGAAACUCUGACGCAGUGACGCCGCGUGCAGGAAGAAGGUUUUCGGAUUGUAAACUGCUUUAGACAGGGAAGAAAAAAGACAGUACCUGUAGAAUAAGCUCCGGCUAACUACGUGCCAGCAGCCGCGGUAAUACGUAGGGAGCAAGCGUUGUCCGGAAUUACUGGGUGUAAAGGGAGCGUAGGCGGGAUAGUAAGUUGAUUGUUAAAACUAUCGGCUCAACUGAUAGAUGCGAUCAAAACUGCAAUUCUUGAGUGAAGUAGAGGCAGGCGGAAUUCCUAGUGUAGCGGUGAAAUGCGUAGAUAUUAGGAGGAACACCAGUGGCGAAGGCGGCCUGCUGGGCUUUAACUGACGCUGAGGCUCGAAAGUGUGGGUAGCAAACAGG
rnacentral:rRNA from 1 species